ACUCCAGCCCGGGCCACAAGAGCAAAAUUCCGUGUCAAAAAAAAAAUAAUAAAAAUAAUAAAAAUAAUGACAUUGGUUUUCAACUUUUAGAAUCAGCCUACAGACAAAGCAUGGAAUGAUAUAAUUUUUAAAUUAUAGGGAAAUAAAACUUGGACUCAGCCAGGUGCGGUGGCCCACACCUGUAAUCUCAGCACUUUGGGAGGCCGAGGCGGAUGUAUCACGAGGUCAGGAGUUUGAGACCAGCCUGGCCAAGAUGGUGAAACCUCAUCUCUUCUAAAAAUACAAAAAUUAGCCGGUUGCGGUGGUGAGCGCCUGUAAUCCCAGCUACUCAGGAGGCUGAGGUGGAAAAUUGCUUGAACCCAGGAGGUGGAGGUUGCAGUGAGCUGAGAUCACACCACUGCGCAACAGCAAGACUCUGUCUCAAAAAAAAAAAAGAAAGAAAGAAAGAAAGCACUGCACUCCAGCCUGGGCAACACUGAGGCUCCAUCUCAAAAAGAAAAAUACAUCUACCCAGAGAACUGAAAGGUCAAAGGGAUU
rnacentral:lncRNA from 1 species